rnacentral:lncRNA from 1 species
CAAUUGCACUUUUAGAUUUGCAAAAUAAGGUUUUUCGUUUUCUUAUUGGGAGAAAGAAGAGUACGGAAAAGUGAAGGAGAUGAAGCAAAUCUGGAAGACGAAGAGGAAAGGGAAUUGAAGUAUUUAAGAGUAAGAGGAGGAAUUUUUAUCGUCAGAAGAAGUCUGAAGAAAAUAGCACUGACGUAGCAGAGCUUGUGGAAAGCAGAAACCUUUAAGAUAAAGUCCUCCGAUCCACCACGAACCAAUUGAGCGGAUGGCUAAAAU